rnacentral:lncRNA from 1 species
UCCAAGAAGAAUAAGACUCCAAUAUUGUAACAAAAGAAGUAUCAGUUUAGAGGAAGGUAAUCCGCAACCUCUAAAAAAUGCUAGUAUACCUUCAAGUAGAGGGGUAAUCCACACUCUACUAAGAAAGAACUAGCUCUGAUAUCUCAAGUUAGUGUAGUCUCGACAAACUGUCACGGACACAAAAUACAGACUUGAAAUCUAACAAGAAGUUCAAGAAGAAGUGGCAAAACUAGA